UACGUAGGGGGCAAGCGUUGUCCGGAAUCAUUGGGCGUAAAGCGCGCGUAGGUGGCCAUGUAAGUCCGCUGUGAAAGUCAAAGGCUCAACCUUUGAAAGCCGGUGGAUACUGCAUGGCUAGAGUACGGAAGAGGCGAGUGGAAUUCCUGGUGUAGCGGUGGAAUGCGCAGAUAUCAGGAGGAACACCAAUAGCGAAGGCAGCUCGCUGGGACGUUACUGACACUGAGGCGCGAAAGCGUGGGGAGCAAACAGG
rnacentral:rRNA from 1 species